rnacentral:rRNA from 1 species
GACAGAGGUGCCGAGCGUUAGGCGGAAUCACUGGGCUUAAAGCGUGUGUAGGCGGACCCAUAAGUACCUUGUGAAAUCCCACGGCUCAACCGUGGAACGGCUGGGUAUAGUGCGGGUCUUGAGCGGCCUAGGGGCAGACGGAACAAGUGGUGGAGCGGUGAAAUGCGUAGAUAUCACUUGGAACGCCGACGGUGAAAACAGUCUGCUGGGGGCCUGCUGACGCUGAGACACGAAAGCCAGGGGAGCGAACGGG